GCCUACCAGUUCCAGCACACCAGAUGUGGUGAUUUUGGACACGCCGUUGAGCCAAAAGCAGCAAAAGCAUCAAAAUGACAUGACUGACUGUCCCACCACUUCUCUGUCCCAUGCUGAAUCAGAGGCUACUGCUUCACUUUCUGUCUCUGCUGUUAUUGACGCUUUACACCUGAGUGACAUUGACUGGGAUGGUUUAUCCUUUACAUCCUCUCCAAAUCACAGCACUGAGCCCAAGUUAAAUGAAACACCAGACAGUGAUGUCAUGGAAACAGCAAACAAAAACUCAGAGCAGACAACCUCAAGUGAAGCCAAACAGGCCAACCUCAGAUCUGCUCCACAGCUGUGUCACACAGAGUGUUCUCUUAGAGACAGGGUGCUGAUGAAGAAUACAGGCAGAACUGUGAAUCAAGGGAUUUACAAUGUGAUCUCAAAACAGCUGAACUAUGACUCACUCUCCUUAGAACACAACUCAACACCCAGUGGACAGAUGCCUUGUAAAGGCAGCGAUGACAGUAACCUGUCAGGGGAGAAAUCUAUUGUUGACAAAAAAGAACCCCUUACAGCCAAAGAUCAGAGUGUAACUGGUAACUUAGACACUCAGAAUUCAAAUAAGCAGACUAUUUCUGCGGUACAAGGCCAAAGUAAGAUGAAGAAAUCCAACAGCUCCAAAAAGCCUCCUCAGAAGUAUACAUUUGUCAGAUCAGCUGUUUCAUCAUUGCCUGUCCCACCACAGAGGUGCCACUCUGACCCAGCUCAACGUGACAAGGACAUGAGCGCGCCACAGACCACCAAGAAGAGUGUGUGCAUGAGCGUGUGUUCCUCUAGUGAGGACAGUGAUGUGGAAAACCAUCAGUCCAGACCUCACAGAAUAACAAAACUUCAGCCUGUGAAUAAGAUGAAGAGCGGCCUCGUUUCUGACCUCUCCCUGAAACCAGCUGCAAAACCUGCUAAGUUAAGAGGAGCAAGAGUUCAGAGCCACGGGGCAGAGGAUGAAAUCACUAUGCCUGUAUCAACUACAAACAAGGGUCAGGAUGUCCCUCCAGCUAACGUGGAUGGUGACGUGUUCCUUCAGACUCCAGCGUCACCUGUUAUUGAGUUAUAUAGUGAUGAGUCAGUGAUUUGCAGCGAGAGUCCCCUGCCACUGGCUGAGAGACUGAGACUUAAAUUCAUGAAGUGAGCAGCGUGGUUACAGGAUGUGAACAUGUAAACCCCUGAAAAUUUACAUUCUUAUCAAUUUUGUUCUUGUUCUUGUUGUUUUGUUCUUUGUUCUUUCUUUUUUGCAGAAGAGUGGAAACUAUUUGAUUGUGGUCUAAUAAUCAAGUUAUAUUUCAAACAAAC
ensembl:lncRNA